CAGUAGCCGCGGUAAUACGAAGGGGGCUAGCGUUGUUCGGAAUUACUGGGCGUAAAGGGCGCGUAGGCGGCCAUUCAAGUUAGAUGUGAAAGCCCUGGGCUCAACCGGGGAGGGUCAUUGGAAACUGGGAAACUUGAGUGCAGAAGAGGAGAGUGGAAUUCCACGUGUAGCGGUGAAAUGCGUAGAGAUGUGGAGGAACACCAGUGGCGAAGGCGACUCUCUGGUCUGUAACUGACGCUGAGGAGCGAAAGCGUGGGGAGCGAACAGGAUUAGAUACCCCCGUAGUCCCUGUCUCUUAUAC
rnacentral:rRNA from 1 species